AUUUUGAUGGAAAGAUUCGUCGUCAUUGUUGCCACAUGUCAUUUAUACAAGUACGGUCACCAUUAUAUUUCGUUUCCGUUAAUACAAAAUAGUUAUCUCUUUUAGUUGUAAUUGGUGCAACCACUCAUCAUCAUAUCCAUUAUUUACAAUGUAAUUUUACCUACGUUUUUAACCUUUUUGAUAGUCUACUUUUAUUUUAGCUGGUAUGCUUUUCGUAUUGUUUAAUGAAACUCACAAGUAGACACUUCAAAAAUAUUAAACACAUGCUCUUUACAUGUUAAUUUAAUAUAACUACGAAUACAGAAAGUUUCGUUGAUGUACCACCAAAGUCUCUUACUGCUUCUCUUCCUUAUUACAUUUACGCCCUCUAUCGGAAUUCAUUCAGUUCAUUCAUUUUUAAAAUAGGUCGACAUUUAAUGUGAUUACUAACUGAUAAUAAAUAUUUGUAAGCUAUGUCAACAAAACCAAGUAGCAAGGAUGCACCCCCACCUGUUCCUAAAAGAGAUCUAACAAAUUAUCUACGAGCAAAAGGGGUGAGCGAUUUUCAUGAAGCCAAGUCAUGUUAUUAGUAUAAUGGAGCACAUAUAACCAUUACCGGCCAGAGCUGGAUUUUCCAAACGAUAGAUGAACUAUACAACCACCAGAAUUCGUGAUGCUCUAUUUGGUCUACUGUACUAUUUAAUGGAGGAAUAAAGUCUUGCUGUUAUUUUUAAA